GAGAAAAAUUCAAAUAUGAAAGUUGUCAGAACUUCACUGAUUCAAAAAGUUGAUAUAAGCCAUUUUGAUGGCCAAAUAUCUGUCUCUGUUGUUUGGUCCGGAGAAAAUAUGAAUGCUGAUGACUUAGUAUUUUGAACUAAAAACCUCUAUCCAGAAUCCAGCCCAUUAAAAGUAUGGCAGGUUUUAAUUGUAAUAGUGUACAUAGAGUGAUACGUCGCUUUCUAGCUAUGUGCAAAGGAAAUUUUCCCUCUAGCUCUGUCGGUAGAGCAGUAUUAAAUUUGGUGCCAUUGACCACUCCAAUUUCUAAAUAGUGUACUGAUAUGCUUUCCUUCUAGCUUUGCACUAGGGGAAAUUUCAUAAGCUCAGUUAAUUGAGCAGCGGAUUGGCAAACCAAUGGUCGUGGAUUCAUUCCAAGUGGUGCCACACUACUCGCUUUCAUAUAAAACUAAAACUUUAGCCUUUUUUUUCUUGAGAAAGAUGAAACCUCCUAACUAUGAUCUGUCUUAACAUUUUCAGUUUUAUAACUUGAAUAUGAUUUUAUUUUGUGACAGAAGUAUCAGAUAAUUUUGAGGAGUUUGAAGAAGACUCUGACAAUGAGGAAGGAUGGGAAGAAGAGGAAGAAAUGGAAGAGGAGGAAGAUGUGAUGUGUCUGUUCUGUCAGCAGAGAUUACCAGGGGUAGAUGAUAUGUUCAGACACUGUCGGUGUGACCAUGGCUUUGACAUGGCAUGGAUGGGUCGUACCUGGCAGCUGGACAGUAUACAGUUUAUUAAAUUUGUCAACUACGUCAGAACAGAGAAACCAACCUGUGAGGUCUUGAUGAAGUACAAACCUGGUGAUGUGGCACCCUGGAGAUCAGAUUCCUUCAUGAAACCCCACAAUCCUGAAGAUGUCCUGUUACAGUUUGAUAUAGAAGAUAUGCUAGAAAAUACAGAAAAUAUUCCAGUGAUGAAUUCUGUUGGUACUACACAAAAUGGCGAUCCGGAAGCGGCUAAUGUGACCUUGUCGUUGUCAGAGUACCAGGAACUUUGUCAUAGGUUAAAGGUCGCUGAGGAGAAGUCAGCAAAGGCAGAAGAACAGAUACACGAGUUAUUGCAAAAUAUGGAGAAAAUGAAGAUUGUUACCAAGGAUAUUGUAAUGUUGCAGUCACAAGAGCCAAUCAAAUCACAGAAUGUUAUAGAGACCUUGACAGAAGAUGAGGAUGAUGCCUACUUUGGUUCUUAUGCACAUUUUAGUAUACACGAAGAAAUGUUAAAAGAUAAGGUCCGUACGGAGAGCUACAAAGACUUCAUGUACCAGAACAAAGACCUAUUUAGAGACAAAGUAGUACUAGAUGUCGGCUGUGGUACCGGUAUACUUUCCAUGUUUGCUGCCAGGUCGGGGGCCAGACGAGUGAUCAGUGUGGACCAAUCAGAUAUAGUUUACCAGGCCAUAGACAUUGUCAGAGAGAACGAAUUGGAGGAUCGUGUAACAGUCAUUAAAGGUCGGAUAGAGGAUGUGGAGUUACCUGUGGACAAAGUUGACAUCAUCAUCUCCGAGUGGAUGGGCUACUUCCUGUUGUUUGAGUCUAUGUUGGAUUCUGUGCUGUAUGCGAGAGAUAAAUAUCUGGCCCCAGGAGGAGUAGUUCACCCAGAUAAAUGUAACAUCAGCCUAGUUGCAUCCUGUGACGCUGAUCUUCACAGUAAGCAUGUGACGUUUUGGGAUGAUGUGUAUGGUCACAAGAUGACCUGUAUGAAGUCAGAAGUGGUCAAGGAAGCCAGUGUUGAGGUUGUAAAACCAGAAAAGAUUAUCACAGACGCAGUCAUUGUUAAGGAGAUUGAUGUGUGUUCCUGUAGACUAGAGGAUUUACAGUUUUCCAAACACUUUUCAAUGACAGUUAAGGAGGACGGCCAGAUCUACGCCAUUGUCAGCUACUUUGACAUGUUCUUUGAUAAGGGAUGCAACUCAAAGGUGAACUUUUCUACCGGUCCAGCACACACAUCAACACAUUGGAGACAGACAGUGUUUCUAAUAGAACACCCUAUUACAGUAGUCAAAGGUGAAGUUCUACAAGGGAAGAUCACCUGUAAGAAGAGUAGGAAGGAUCCCCGUUCUUUGGUGAUAUCAUUGACUGUAAAGGAUUUCACACAGGUGUAUUUAAUGGACUAAUUACUACCAGAAAGUGCUAUCUGUACAACUGGACUAAUUAGGACCAGAAAGUGCUAUCUGUACAACUGGACUAAUUAGGACCAGAAAGUGCUAUCUGUACAACUGGACUAAUUACUACCAGAAAGUUCUAUCUGUACAACUGGACUAAUUAGGACCAGAACGUCUUAUCCGUACAACUGGAGUUAUCUCUCUUCAACAAGCUUCAUUGUGCAUUCAGCCCGAUUUGCAGUUGGUAAGCAGCUAGGUUGGACCCAGAAAGAAAAUGACUUUAUAUUUUGAGCUAUUUCAGUUAUGUUGAUAUUACAGGCACUUGUAUCUGGUAAAAAUAGGUUUAUAAUGGUAAAUCAGAUAACAUCUUACUAAAGACACUCUGUAGUCUUACAGUAAUAAAGAGAGAAAAAUUGCCAGAGAAAAAUUGAAGAAGAAAGAACAAAUUGCCAGAGAAAAAUUGAAGAUAAAAUAGUGACAUCUACCAAGAAACACAUAUGCUUAUGUUAAGCUGGUUUUAUGAUAAUAAACAAAGUGAAAAAUA